rnacentral:rRNA from 1 species
AGUGAACGCUGGCGGUAGGCCUAACACAUGCAAGUCGAACAGCAGCACAGUAAGAGCUUGCUCUUACGGGUGGCGAGUGGCGGACGGGUGAGGAAUACAUCGGAAUCUACUUUUUCGUGGGGGAUAACGUAGGGAAACUUACGCUAAUACCGCAUACGACCUACGGGUGAAAGCAGGGGAUCUUCGGACCUUGCGCGAUUGAUGAGCCGAUGUCGGAUUAGCUAGUUGGCGGGGUAAAGGCCCACCAAGGCGACGAUCCGUAGCUGGUCUGAGAGGAUGAUCAGCCACACUGGAACUGAGACACGGUCCAGACUCCUACGGGAGGCAGCAGUGGGGAAUAUUGGACAAUGGGCGCAAGCCUGAUCCAGCCAUACCGCGUGGGUGAAGAAGGCCUUCGGGUUGUAAAGCCCUUUUGUUGGGAAAGAAAAGCAGCAGGUUAAUACCCCGCUGUUCUGACGGUACCCAAAGAAUAAGCACCGGCUAACUUCGUG